UCUUCAGAGACAAAAAUGUUCUUUCUCUCUGCAGGACACACUUCCUGUUUCUUCUCUGUGCAGGACACACUUCCUGUUACUCUCCUUAGACAGACACACUUCUUGUGUCUCUCCUGUGCAGGAUACACGUCCUAUUUCUCCCCUGUGAAGGACACACUUUCUGUUUAUCCUUUGUGCAGGACACACUUCCUGAUCCUCCCCUGUACAGGACACACAUCCUAUGUCUACCUAUUGCAGGACACACUACUGGUGUCUCCCCUGUGCAUAGUACACUUCCUGUUAUUCUCCUGAGAGACACACUUCCUGUUCCUUCCCUGCACAGGACACACUUCCUGUGUCUCCCCUUGCAGAACACACUAUCUGUUCCUUCUCUGAGGAGCAUACAGUUUCUGUUCUUUCACUGUGCAGUUCAGACUUCUUGUUAUUCUCCUGAGACAGACACACUUCCUGUUUUGUCCCUGUGCGGGACACAUUUCCUCUGUCUUACCUGUGAAGGAUGUAUUUCCUGUUACUCUCCUGAGAGAGACACAAUUCUUGUUCCUGCCUUGUGCAGGACACACUUCCUGUUAAUCUCCUUAGACACACUUCCUUUGUCUUUCCUGUGCAGGACACACUUCAUGUUUCUCCCCUAUGAAAGACACAUCUGUUUAUCCUCUGUGCAAGAAACACUUUCUGUUCCUCCCCUGU